rnacentral:rRNA from 1 species
GUACGGGAGGCAGCAGUGGGGAAUUUUGGACAAUGGGGGCAACCCUGAUCCAGCCAUUCCGCGUGAGUGAAGAAGGCCUUCGGGUUGUAAAGCUCUUUUGUCCGGAACGAAACGGUUACGGUUAAUACCUGUGACUACUGACGGUACCGGAAGAAUAAGCACCGGCUAACUACGUGCCAGCAGCCGCGGUAAUACGUAGGGUGCGAGCGUUAAUCGGAAUUACUGGGCGUAAAGCGUGCGCAGGCGGUUUUGUAAGCCAGAUGUGAAAUCCCCGGGCUUAACCUGGGAAUGGCAUUUGGGACUGCAAGGCUAGAGUGCGGCAGAGGAGACUGGAAUUCCUGGUGUAGCAGUGAAAUGCGUAGAUAUCAGGAGGAAUACCGAUGGCGAAGGCAGGUCUCUGGGCUGACACUGACGCUCAUGCACGAAAGCGUGGGGAGCAAACAGGAUUAGAAACCCUAGUAGUCCG